AGAGAGAGAGAGAGAGAGAGAGAGGGAGAGAGAGAGGGAGGGAGAGAGAGAGGGAGGGAGGGAGGGGUCAGCAGUCAGACAUAACUGCAAGGCAGCACAUGGUGCGUGGUGAUACACAGGCUGGGUCCAGACUAAUGGAACUCUGUGGCCGAUCCCCGGAGGCACAGGGCUGAGGGAGACAUAGUUACCUUUCAAUUAGAAACUGAUUCACACCUGGAGCAUCAGGUUUAGAUGAUGUCCACGGCUCCUCACAGUGGAGAGGAUGACAGUAAUGGUGGUGAGAUGAGAGGAUGAGAAGAUAUUGGGCAGUGACUGUCCUGGCCAUCGUUGCCAGAGCUAUGUCAUGGCCAUUACCUGUCCAGCCAAGGUCCAUUCUCCAAUAAUAAUAAUAGUUUCACUAAGCCCACUUGGCUUCCUGAAGAGCUCUACAAAUGUGGAAGGCAGAGGUAAGUGUGCUCAGUCAUGUCAAGACUGGCCAAGGUCAGGCGGGCAAACAGAAAGUGCUGGCAGUGCCGCAUGCGUGGCAUCAUGAAUGCCAAAAUGCCGGGGCCUCUGGCUGUGCUGUUUGACAGACAUGUUUACACCUGAUAGAAAAUGCAGUGUGGAUGGCCUGCCAAAACAGAGGGGAUACAAAGUGAGGGGUGCCAGCCUAGUUAUUUAUUUAUCUGCUGCAAAUCCAUCCAGAGUGCAGCCAGAAGCUGGGCAUGCCUCAGUGAGGAAUAAGCCAGCCUACUCUCAGACAUGAGUCUUAAACCACUCGAGGGAGAAAAUAAAAAAGAUCUGACAUGUAGUAAAAGAAAAGGAAAGUAAAGAUCUCAUGAAGCAGCUCUAGACAUUGUGUUUGAUUUACUCACACUCUUGAUACUUUUCACACUAAUUAAUGAUUAACACAUGAAAUUUGUCAAAUUAAUCAGAGGUUGUUCUAAAAUCCUCCAUGACAAUGUUCAGAGGCUGGGCCUGUUUUUUCUCAGUACUGCAAUUAAAUCAGCUGACUUGGUAGUUGGACUUGGAAGCAAAUGUUAACAGGACUAAGAGUCUACAGCCAUGCUAGUGAGGCUGUAAAUGCACCAGCAAGCUAACAUGUGCACUAUAACAAUGCUAAUACGCCAAUGUUUAGCAGGUUUACCAUGUAAGUAAUGUUGAGACAGUUCACUUAAAACACACACAAAAUGUGAAGCUGCUGGUGGCACUAGAGGAAGAGUCAGGGAAUCACCAAAUUCAUUAGGAUACAUCAUAUGGGAAGCAUCAAUAUCUCAAGUAAAUGUUUCACCGGAUACGUGAAAACUUUUACCUCCUAGUGGUCCUGGAUGAAAAGUCAAGGGACCAUGAAUGUCUGUACAAAUUUAAUGGCAAUAGUUGUUGAGAUAUUUCAGUCUGGACCAAAGUGGUGGACCAAUCCAUGGACCAAAAGACCAACAUUGCCAUCCCUAGAAGCACACUACACUAGCUUGGUGUAUUGGAUAUGCCAGAUGACAACAGUGGAGAAACACUGAGAAGCACAGGAAUGCAAGACUCUUUAUCUUCUGGAGAAACUUCAGCCUUCUGGUAAACAUCAGAUCACAUAACUCAGAGACGUCACUCAUACAUAUGAGAGCAACACUGCUCCUUUCAUCUCUUCUGUGGUGCCAUAUCGGUGUUAUCUUCACGUUUCCCCAUAUCGUACCAGACAACAAUGUGCUGAGUCACAUAUUGCCAUGUCAGAUGCCAGACUGUGGGGUUUGCUACAGGACUAGGAAAUAAUGGUUAGAACAAGAGAGAUAUACAGAUACUAGACUACCGUAAAUCUACUAUCUGUGCGUGUGUUAGGGUAUGUGCAGUGAUAGAAAUCAUCAGACUUCAGAAAGCUGGUUUUUCAAGUUGCGUGCUUGUGUGAAUGCUUUGUUAUAAAUCGAAAUGUGGUGGUAUAGACAAGAUGAAGAAACCUAAACAAACAGAUGAGCCUGUGUUGAACUGAUCUACUGCAAAGAUUUUCUAUGUACAAUGAAAUAUGCUUCCAAUUUUACUUAUGAACUACAUGUCCUGCUCUGUAGACAAAAAUGAAAGAGCCUUGUUAUUUUGACAACAAAUUUGUUGAUCUAUUCCCCAACUCAUACAAAAUUAUUGUUCUGAAUACAGUGGCUAAGAGGAAAUUAUGCAAUUAGCCUUCUACAUUAAAUUCCUUUCCGGUCUGAAACAGAAAUGGGCCCAGUUACCUGUCAGAGGUUUAAAAGCAGACUUUUGAGCAUGCACUAUUUGACUGUAAGUCAGCUAGGCCUUCUCCCUGGUUUAGUGGGAAACAACUCAAUGUUCUGAAAGCUAAAGCACAGCAGCAUUGUUCCAGCUGGCGGAAAAAGGGGAAAUGAAGAUGGAGUGGUUUGAUUUCAUUUGUUAGCAGGUGCAUCCAUUUUGUGUUCUUCCCCACACCCACCUCGCCUCUCUCAGUCAAAGCGCUUAUCAGAAAUUGGACACCCCAGUGACAAAUUGAGCCUGCGAUUAAAGGGAGAAAGAGGAAAGCUUUGUUAAGUGCUGCUGAUUGGGAUCCCAGGCUGCCCUCACACAUCAGAGGUGUGUGUGUGUGUGUGCGUGUGCGUGCAUGUACCAAGCGUGCAUGCAUGCAUGCAUGCUUGGUACAGAGCCAAUAGCAGAGCUGACACCACCACCACCUCUUCUCCAAUUUUCCCCUCUCUCCAGGUGUUCCCACGGCUUACAUUUCUGCUCAGAGUACUCAGCAAACAAAACCAAAUCAAUGUCUCUCUCUCUCUCUCUCUCUCUCUCUCUCAUAUACAGUACAUGGAAAAUACACAGGCAAACCUACAUAUUACACUAGUGAUUUUCUCCUGCAGGAAUAAUGAUCUCUAGUAUUUCCUGUGUCUUCUUAUUGACAUGUACGCUGUGUUUAACAGAGAAAAAAGUAAAGUCUCUGUGUGUUUGUCCCACCCAGACCCAUAUUAUUGACCCAGCAUUAACCAGCCCUGGCCUAUUUGCGAGCGCGGCUAGGCUGAUUUAAGAGGGGGGUCAGAGCCGCUCUGCUAGGCAGAACUGUGCGAGCGCUGACUCUCACAAAUCAUCCUAAAAGGGCUUAACACACAAAAACAGCUUCCAGUGUUACACAGGCCUGCUGUGAGAGAUUUAUCCACUGUGCCAUUAUACUAACUGGCCUCUCUUCCAUAUGAGCUGUAUACUAAUUCACACACACACAUAAAGAAAAAACCCUAAUUAGACUUAUGCCUGGUGCAACGCUGCAGGAGGACUCACUCAAACAAUAACUUUUACUAUUCUAAAUUUAAGACAUAAUCUUGUUAACCAUUAGUCUUCUUCUUUAUUGCUGAUGCGUUGCUCACAUGGUGUUGGUUUAUACACCUUAAUGUCUUAACUGUGACUUGUAAUAUAAUGAAAAGGUGAGUGGUGUCUACAUCUAUAAAAAAGUAGAUUGUUGAUUUUUAAAAUUUAGAUGCUGUAAUUACUCUGGGCCACUCAAUCAUUUAUGAACACUGACCUCCAAAAGAAUUUUAGUAAAGCAGAGUUUCAUCUUUAAUUGUGUUUUAUUUUAUAUACUGUUUAAUUUAUCAUAUUUAGUUUACAAAGCUUCUGUGGCAUAAUUUUUCAGAUGUUAUGGCGGACCUUGUUAAUGCAGGCCAAAGAAAAAGCUCUCACUAAGAUUCUAUGGAGGUACAUUCAUUGGUUCAGUUAGUAAGAGCGGAUUACUGAGAUGCAGGUCUGGUGGAUGCACAGAACUGGUGAAAAUAUUCUGCUGCAUUGAGAAGGGCAGUCAUACAAGUCAAAAACAAAUGCCUACAUGCCGAUUCCAAACCCUGCUGUGUACAUUCAAUAAAAGCUGAUCCGUCUCCAUCCUGUGUCUAUGGAAGGUUGGUAAGGUCAGUCGCCUCCAUGGCAGCUCUGACAUUCAGUCUGGCCUCCAGCGAGACCAAACGAGUCCCCCCUCGCAUCUACAGAGCAGCCGAGGAAUAAAAGAGAUCUUUCUCCACCAGACAGGGUUGUGUGAGAUAUGUUCCUUUUGCCACUGGCGACACACAAGACAUUUGUGGUCUCUCCUUCAUCUGCUGUGUAUAUGUGAGAGCCUCUCUGCCCCCAGUUCUUUCUCCAGCAGACACCAGCUCAGGGCAUCGGGCAGCCAGCUGGUGAUCCGUGGAGAGCCAGGCAAACACAGGCCCGGCAUGGCAAACAUCUCACCUCUGUGUCUGCAUGGGAACAUCUGGCCCUCCCAGGCUCACAGGGCCCUCCGUCUGUCUGCCUGUCUGCCUGUGAGCUUACACAUACUCUUAGUGUGUACUAGUGUUGUCAUGGCACCAGAAUUUUUACUCCUACACAGGUACCGGUUUAAUAUACAAAAACAAUCACUAGUCUACAAUACCAAAGCACACAAGCCACAUGUCACAUAACCACACCACAGCAGUAUUUUAUGAUGAUUAAAUUACUGAUUUAACAGCUUUGUUUGCAUCUUCAGCACAGGAGCUCUGAUAUGUUGGGAUGUCAAAGUGAGCAGAUCUACAGCUAAAUAGUUCCAUAUUUUGGCCCUGACCCUAGUUUUGUCAACCAGUUUAGGUGGAUUGAGUAUAAUGUCACUACGGCUAGGUAUCGAACCUCAAUACUUUUUGGUACAGAGCAAAAUGUGUUUAUUUUGCAACUGUGUAUCGAUAAGUGUCAAGUACCGAAAGCUAGCAUCAAAUGUCUGGUUCCAGAUUUUUUUUUAAAAUUGCCAAUUAUAGACCUUUUUAUUUAGGAAAAGUUUUUGUACAGCUAUUUAUGUUUAGACAACAUGUACAUUUGGGAACUUGGACUUUGCAGAAAAUUUCUCAAAAGGACGGUUUUGUUCUGGUAUUGAUACUCGUGUAUCGUAUCGACACUGGUAUACAAAAAAUUUCAAACAAUAUCUGGCUGUUGCAGAUCUCGAUUGGUUGACGUAUCAAAACUAAAAUUAAUCUUCAACAAACUCAUUUUUUACUCAUAGUAACAACACUAGUGUGUCUGUGGCUUGUCCUGAAUGCAGAAAGCUUAACAAAAUAUUCAAUCUCUUCUUCUAGUCUGUACCAGUGAGAUAGUUAUAUGAAAAAUAGAGUUGGCCCAGAUGAUAAACUCUCUCUCUCUCUCGCUUUCUUGCAUCAUGCCUGCUCAUACAGAUCUCCUGUGGCCGUCCAAUGAUUCAAGACUGAUGAGGCAUGCUCAAAGGUCUAUGCCAUUGAGCACAGCAUUAAUGCACCCAGCAGCAAAUUUUUUGCCAUCGACCCCCAUUCCCUACAAUAAGGACAGAGCUAUCAAUCAGGCCGAGAUCGCUGACACCAGACACGGGCUGAUGAAGUAGGGGACUUUGGAGCUAAUGACAAAUGGAUCUCUCAGAUAUGGUCACAGUAUACUAUGACAGUCCGCUGAGAACACUUGACCUUUAGCAAAAUCCUGAGCCACUUUUUGCCAACACCGUACAAUGCAAAAAUGGAGAAAAUGCAAACUGCUGUUGCAGUUAAGAAAGUGUGGUUAUUGUGUGAGAACUCCUGGGUCCAGCUGAGAGUCUCAGUUCCUUCACUCUCAGAGUUGCUACUGACCGGCCCAGCCUUCCUCUGUUCUCACACCAAAGCUCUGGGAGUGACCUUCAGGAGGCCUGCUAGUCCUGCUAAUUGGGGUCUCUACACAGCAAUGCCCCACACACACACACACACACACACACACACACACUGGAAGAGGGACUAGGACUAGGGUAGAGGGAUGGAGAGAUAGCAGGGGCCUGUGUUGUCUGCUUGGUGGGAAAUAGACAAAACAAGUGGAACUUGGGCCCAGUCAGAAUUAGGGCUGCAGUGAAAGGAAAGUAAGAUAACAGAGUCCUUUGUAACAAGGAUGCUGAAUAUAUAGAGCUGGUCAACCAAUAAAUAAUGUAACAUUGAUCAAAAAACUGUUAUCAAAAUAUUUCACAAAUUCUCCUUAAGUAUGGAAAAUCACAUGUCAAGCUGUCUACAUUGGACUCUGUAACAAUAGAAAGUAUAACUGGGUGAUGUCAUCAGAUUGCUUUCUUUGUCCAACCAACAGUCCAAAACCCCCAAAUAUUCAGUACUAUCAAUUAAGACAAAGAAAAGCAGCAAUUCCUCACAGUUGGGAAGUUGCGACCAGUUCAUUUUUAGUAUUUUUUUAAAAGAAUAAUCAAUUAUUUAAAAGGUUGCUGGUUAUUUCUCUGUUGAUCAACUAAUCGAUUAAUCGCCUAAUCGUUUCAGCUCUAGUUACAACAUACAAGAGCAGUAUGUGUGGCAGAGGUGCUGUGAAUAACAAGAAAGAAACAAGUGCUAUGGGUUAAAACAGUGGUAGAACAAAGUAGUAAAUCGCAUAAAACAAAUAAAUGUAAACUUCAUAGUAGCUAUUACAAUACCAAAUUAGGUAACACCACUUGAAAAUAAUAAAUUCAUAAAUUCAAACUGGGGAAAAAAUACGAUGGUAUUUGAAAAAGUAAAAAAGGCACCACAAAGUGGAUGAUGGGUUUCUAAAAGGGAACGUGGGUCAGGCAGGUCAAUUUUAUCUGUGGGCCAACAGGGUCGAUGCUCAGCUCUCAGGAGCAUAGAGGAGACAUUGACACAGGUAAUUUAGAGAAGGCUCGGCCUGGCUGCAGCUGUGCACUGAGCUUGCCAACAUAUCAUCAUAUCAGGGCCACUUCUUAUCAGUUAGAUCAGCACUCAGAAUAAAAGGGGAAAAAAUGUACAGGAAGUCAUUCUGUAAAAACAAGAUACUGAGAGCCUUUAUGUCAGGAAAGAGUCACUGAACUUGUUUUUAAGAAUGCAUUUAAGAGUAAAAGACAGACUUUUCUGAAGGAAUUAUAGGACGUACAGUGAACCUGGUAACCAUUUUAAACAAGGUGUGCGAUAGAUCCAGUGAAUGAGACUUUGAGCAAGGAUUGCCAUGAAUAGAAAGGUCUGCAUUUAAUUUGCUAAUCCAUCAUUCCAAUUGUACUUGGUAACAAAGGGAGAGGAGAGUGGUGGGGCAUUCAGAUGCAAUGGAGCAUGCUGAGGGGUGCGUGUGUGGUUCUCCAUGGAGCCAGAGAGGCGGUGGCCCUUGGCCCUAAAAGGCCGGCCAGCGCUGGGAAGAAUGGGAUCUGAUGAGCUCAACGCAGGCAAGACUAAUCCCUUCAUGUCCAAAGAAUUGUUUAACUAUGUUUGACUGAUUAACCCAAACCCCUCGAUUCCACUUACAAUCUAUUUGUUCAAUCAAGUCUCCUGCACUCAUCAUGCUGCAGUGUGUGGGUGGUGAUGGCGAGGGAGAAAAAGAAAGAGAGAAAGAACGAGAGAGAGAGAGAGAAACAAAGGGGGCUGCAAAACAAUCCAUUUGAAGGACGCAUACAGAAGUCAAAAGGACAGCUUUUUUGUUCUACUUGCAAUUCUUCAAAUGCACAUAGCAAAUGAGCUCCUCCAAACCAGCUGUUGCUAACAUUAAAAGGUCAGAGAACUCUUGCCUUGAGAGAUUUCAAGUAGAAAGUCAGCCGUGGUGUGUUAGCAUACUGCACUGGCACUCUGGUUUUUACCAGCUUCAUGGGAAAAGGAAAUUUAAAGGCACUCUCCCCUGCGUGGAAAAGAGGUUGCCAGGAAGAUUAACCCAGCUUCCUUUUAUAGCCUCUGACAAGAGGUUAAAUCACACAUUACACUGCCUGAAAUGUCUGCUGGUAAUUAGAUCAAGAAUAUUACUCUCUCUUCUUCCCCUCGCAGACUGCAGCUGAUCAAAGCCUAAUGAUGGUGUCAGUGCCAUUGGCAGUGCUGGCUGGGUAAAUCUCCCCAUCGGGAUGGCAAUCUGUCAGGGCUGCAAGCCCUGCUAAACAGCACAGGACAUGAGCACAAUGGUGCUUGACACAAAGUAGACUAAAUGAACCAUAUCUUUUACCAACAAGCUAUCCAUCAGCAGCGCACCAUUAAAAUUCACAGUAAUGAUUAAACAUGUCUUUGUUUUGAGUCUAGGACUGCGUGUUUAUAUGUACACAGUCAACUGAGAUGUAUACAGUGAGAGAGAUGUUGGUGACAUCUGUGAGUUUUAUCCCAAUAACAGUGAAAGCCACCACCCGCGUAUCUGCUGUCUUUCCAUGCCAGAGCAGAUCUAAGCAGCACCUGGUCCCUUGAUGGGGUGAGGGGGCUACUGGCUAUUAAUUACAGAAAGCCGACACGCAGCGCAGGCAAAUCCUCGCAAUGAGACCCUGGGACGUCAGAUACACAGCAAGACGAAUGCUUCUCUGUCACACAGCAACAUGACCAGCCUCAGGACUCUUUACACACGAGUACUUUCAAGUAUGCCUUUCAAAUUGUGGCCCACCCUUCUUCCUCUGCCCCCACCCCGUCUCCCUCUCUAUCUCAAUCACAUUCUGCGGAUGUUACACUACUUCAGGGGAUAUUUUCUGACUAAUGCAAAGUGGUUGUGCAGUAGCAUGAUAAAAGUUGACAUUUUCCUUUUCUAAUUCAAUGCUUCCUUUGUAAACAACCUCGCCUUUUUAUGUGUGCACACGUGCACACGCACACAGGCUGCAAACACAUCACACAUAAUGGUCAUUUGCUCUCACACUUAACGGACGCAAACAAAAGGGGGAAAUGGCAGGAGAUAUGCCAAUCACUUAUCGUUGAAAGAUGUCUGACAAAAGAGGCCCUAAAAACCUGACAGCUUUUCUUUUCCACGUCAGUCCCCUGCACAUCCAGCCCCUGAAAAAGGGGCCCCAGACAACAGACUCCUGCGAGAGGUCUGACCCCAAUCUUAACCCCAUACAGGUGGUGGCACAGUGCUAACACAGGAAGCAGGAGCGCUAUUCACAGGAUGCAGGGAGAAAAGGUUGUUCUCACCCAAAGACCUGCUCUCAGAGAUCAAUUAGACAGGCACAAAGUGAGCUCAAUGCCAGUAAAGUGUAUUCUAACAUGCUGAAAAGAAAAUCCCCUUGAACACAUUAAUGGUAAAGACUCGUUCUCAGUGUAGACUAAAAGAAUCUGGUUAAGGAGGGGGGUUUGAGAGUCACGAUGUUAGAUAAAACUCUACAACUGAGUAGCAACACUAUUAUGCUAUGAAGGCUGUUAAUCUUUAAGUGUUGUCAGAAAUGUAACAAUUGUGGUUUAAAGUUUAAAAAGCAAAUUGUAAACCUGUUAAUAUUACUGAAAAAAAGGACAUGCUCCUAUUGUGUGACCCACAAUCUUUAUAACAAAAAUCCUGUUAAGAUAAUCUUAAUGUACAAAAACAUUAAUAUCAAGUGUGGUCUUCUAGUUCAGGAGAAUAAUGUGACUCCUGUCUGAUUACUGCUCAGUUAGUCCAACUACAGAGCUGAACUAUGAACUGUGAUUACAGCCAACAUCCCCCCGCAGAGCGACAACUGCAUCUCUGCACAUUCCAGGAAACGCAGCCAGCUGAAGACAGCAAAUACACCAGAGAGAGGAGGAGACAUAAACAACCUGAUCCACAGCCUGAGCCCUGCAGGUCAGUCCCUUGUUCUCAGAGGUAUCCAGAAGUUGCCCAUGAUGUCCUAAACACCUGAUCUGGAUGUAUCACGUGGCCACAGUUAUUUACUCACAGCCUGACCUGCAUUUGACCCUCACACUGGGUCUUCUGACUUUGUCUACUCACACAAAGGCUACCAAACAUCUGCUCCCUGUCUGAAACCAGACUCAUGCAGCUGAGAAGACAUCGGGUGACCUCACACAAAGUCUCUCCAAGUGGUGGGUGGCUGAGUGGGUGACAGCUGCCCUGGUUACUGGAGGACUGAAAGGUGGAGCAGGCUGGCAGAUCACUGGUACCUGGGAAAUCUCUGCCCUGCUGCCCGGGACAGGGGGGCAGCCUCAUUUAGCAAAUGGAUGAUAUUCAACAAAUGCUGCUCACCUAAAACGACCGGAGGUGAGGAAAAUAAAAAUCUGCUAUGCACAUACAAUUCACAGACAACACCUGCAAGAGAUUUAACAUACACAGGCUCCCGCUGGAAUAUGAAAGGAACAAAUGUAUUGCAUUGGGAAGAGCAUACGGUUACACAUUUCCAAUUCAAGUACCAUCUCUAAAAUGCCACAUCAAAUGACUGGCUUUGAAUAAACCAAAAUGAGCAUCAGCCAAGCGGCUCAUUCCAGCACAGAAAAUCUUUGCAUCAAAAAUAUGCUGGUUAGCCGAGCCAUUUCACAGUCAACAAUCACAGAAUCAGGACUGUUACUAAUCAAUGUAUUUUAAUGAGCUCCCUGUGAAUCCCAACAACUGCUGAAACAUAAAAGCUUCUCAAGUUCUCUGGUUCAGUCUUUGUACCUUGUGAUCUGUUAUUCAUAGUCUUGCUCUGAAGUCUCUAAGAAAUAAAGCAGAGCUUUGAUGUUAUCCUCUUAUUACUGCUGUCUGAGACAAGCCUAAUGUAGGGAAUCAGACUGUUUGGCUGUCACAUGGAGAAACUUCUGCAACACAAAAAACAUCCGGGAUUCAGUGUAAGGUGCUCACUCACCAAUAUCUGCUUUGCUAUUUGCUCACAAGAAGAAGAAAGUUUGAUACAGUGAGGUUAGUAUCUAGUAAACGGUGUGGGUGUACAUAUUACAUUUACACUGUACUCUACUCACUACUUUAAAGCUUUCGCUAAACUAAGCUUAAAUACGUAGGUGUGUAUGUUCUCUACUAUAUAUAUAUAAGUAUUUUUCUGCAAAACUUUAACCUUGUCUACAGGCAACUGUAGACUGAGAGGCUAUAGCAGCCAAGAUGCUACACAAGUAUUUCAGAGGAAAUUACCCUCCUCUGCCCACAAUGUAAAUCAAUACGUUCCAAUGUAUUUGUCAGUGGUUGGCUGAAAAAACCAAGGCAAACUUGCUUUCCUGUCAGUUUGCCCUCAGCAAAGACUCUGGGUGUGCAGUGACAGGUCGAAGAGUCAGCACAUGACUCAUGGGCAGAGGAGGAAAGACACUUUGAAAAGCCAGGCUAGAGAUCUAAUUAACACAUGCAUUCAAGUGGUAUUUCAAUUUGGCAGAACGCUGUAAUUUUUAACAAUGCUGACCAGCAUGACAUGAACUAAUGAACCAGGUGCUCCUGACAUUCAGGCUUAUCUGCUGCUGUUAUGAGUAAGAGUAAACACACAACUCAUUUUCAGACUUAAAUAGAAGUAAAUACAUAUUCAAGAGCAAACACAGAAAAUCACAACUAUUGCAGUCAAACUUGUACUUCAAAAACUGAGCUGUAAACUACUGCAAAAUCUAUACAGUAUAUGUACUGCUGUUAGCCUUUGCAUCACAAUAUCUCACAGUAACUUUGCAGCAUUAUACUCUCAUUCUUCUUGGUAUCUGUCAAAUUGCUGUCAUUAGAGGCGAACUGCAUUUUACAGAUGGGGAGAGGCCUUACAGUCAUUUGUUUUUAAGACCUUAUUAAUCUUCAUUGUGCUGGGAAACAUAGCACCCCAAUGCAAAAAGGGUUCCCUCUACAUGAUAAUUGCAGAGAGUCUAGGGGCCCGAGUUUCCCAGACAACAAGGUCUGAAAUUUAAUUAUCUGGUCUUUGGAAAAUGUAGGGGAAGAAAGCUACAUUGCAAAACUGCACUUCUGGGCAAGUAAUGUCAGGCUCUUGUUUGAGUAAGCACAGGCUAUUACUGAGCACAUCUUCCCUGCUGUCAUAAACUAAACAGUCUCACCUUUGUCAUGGUAAAGGAAAGAUAAGGGCUUUUUACAUAACGACAGAUUUAUUUUUUAACUUCAAAACGGCCAUGCAAAUGUGGACAUUUCUUUCACAGUUUUA